GCGGCUGCUGCUGCUGCUUCUUCUCCUCCUCCUCUUGCUGCUGCUGCUCCGCCGGGCUCCGUCUGACCGCGCCGCAGGAAGAGCGGGGCCGAGGCGGCCCCAGCCCCAGCUCCAGCCCCAGCCCCGGCCGCCGCCGCCGCCGCCGCCGCCGCUGCUGCUGCUGCCCGCAGGCAGGGCAGCGCCGGGCAACCCGCGUCCCUCCCGCCUCGCCGAGGACAGCCUUAAGACAUUGUGGAUGGAAGACCUCUGUGGCUUCUCUGUUGAUGGCAGAAUGGCCUAGACCAGUCUGUUGCUCUAUGGUUCCUACCACGGGUGCUCUACAGCAAUGCAGUGGGAUUUCACCACCAGUGCUUGUGGACCUUCCAGAUGGCUGUAAAUCUGCAGAGGAGGUUAGUGCAAAAUGUAAUCCAGGAUUUUUAUUUUUU
rnacentral:lncRNA from 1 species